UACGUAGGGUCCGAGCGUUGUCCGGAAUUAUUGGGCGUAAAGAGCUCGUAGGCGGUUUGUCGCGUCUGCUGUGAAAUCCCGAGGCUCAACCUCGGGUCUGCAGUGGGUACGGGCAGACUGGAGUGCGGUAGGGGGAGAAUGGAAUUCCUGGUGUAGCGGUGGAAUGCGCAGAUAUCGGGAGGAACACCAGUGGCGAAGGCGGCUUCCUGGACCUGGUUCUGACACUGAGGAGCGAAAGCGUGGGGAGGCGAACGAGG
rnacentral:rRNA from 1 species